AUCAUGGAUGAGGUGUUCUCCAAGGAGCUGGACCAGUGGAUCAAGCAGCUGAACCAGAGAAAGUAGCUAUCCAAGUCCCAGGUCAAGAGCCUCUGCAAGGAGGCUAAAGAAAUCCUGACAGAAGAAUCCAAUGCACAAGAGGUUUGGUGUCCAGUCACUGUCUCUGGAGAUAAGCAUGGGCAAUUUCAUGUUCUCAUGGAACUGUUUAAAUUAAUAGAAAAUUACCAGAUACAAAUUACUUGUUUACAGGAGAUUAUAUUGACAGAGGAUAUUAUUCAAUUGAAAUAGUUAUGCUGCUCCUAGCUGUUAAGGUUUCUUACCAUGAAUGCGUCACCAUUCUUCCAAGGAAUCAUGAGAGCAGGCAGAUCACACAAGUUUAUCAUUCCUAUGAAGAGUGUUUAAGAAAACAUGGAAAUGCAAAUGUUUAGAAAUAUUUUCCAGAUUUUGCCAUCUUCCUCUCACUGCCUUGGGGGAUGGGCAGCUCUUCUGUCUCCAUGGUGGCCUGUCGCCAUCUGUAGAUACACUGCAUCACAUCAGAACACUGAAUUGCCUACAGAAAAUUCCCCAUGAGGGUCCAAUGGGUGACUUGCUAUACUCAGAUCCAGAUGACCAUGGUGGCUGGGGUAUAUCUCUUUGAGGAGAUGGUUACACCUUUGGGCAAGAUACUCCUGAGACAUUUAAUCAUGCCAGUGGCCUCAGGUUGGUGUCUAGAGCUCACCAGCUGGUGAUGGUGGGACAUAACUGGUGUCAUGACUGGAAUGUAGUAGCCAUCUUCAGUACUCCAAACUAUUGCUAUCAUUGUGGUAAUCACACUGCAAUCAUGGAACUUGAUAAUACUCUAAAAUACUCUUUUUUUGCAGUAUGACCCAGCACCUCACAGAGGCAAGCCACAUGUUACUCAUUGUACCCCAGAUUACUUCC
rnacentral:lncRNA from 10 species